ACUAAGUCGCUUCUCAAUUAAAUGGCUUAAAUAAUCAGUCAAGAGGUAAUUUAAACAUCCCUCAGAGCAGAGGUUCUUACAAAGGAGAGAGGGAGGGACCACAGACUUGGACCAUAACUCAGUCAAUGGUCUAAUUCUGAUCUGUGCACUUGGAAAAGAAGAGCCACAAUCACACUUUUGCCAAAACAAAGCUCCUCCACCAUAUUUUCAGAAAUCAUCUCCAUAGCCACCCAUAUAACAAUUCUAGGUCAGAAUGUCUUGUUCUAACCCUUUUGUAUGAAAAUUUAUACUAACUUCUUCCUUUUUCUGACCCAGAAGAAAUAAACAAAAACUUCACAAUACCCGUCAAAGGCCGGAUAGAUGUGAGAGCUAUUAUUAUGUUACUGUCUUUUCCCAGUUUCUUUACCCUCUCUUUUCCCAAACAUUCCUCCUUGCUAAGUGAUUCUCAUCCAGACAUCCUCCACAUUCUAGAACUUGCUACACCUGCAAAUCAUCACUUCUUUGGGUGAAAAACACAAAGCGUCCUCUACUUCAUUUAAUCCAAAGACUCUAUACCAUGAGUCUUCCUCAUGAAAUGGAGCACCCUCUGGCUUGAGGACUUAUAUGCCAUCUUAUGUACUUUAAUCCUGGACUUAUGCCCCUCUCCUUGAAGACUCUGGUUGUGUCUGCUAUAACACAGGAGAAAUUCCUAACAUUUGAGUUUUGUACAAUUGAUCUUAUAUUGCUCUUUCUCUGUAAAUCACAAUGAUCUAGGGUAAGAACAAUGUCUCAGCUCUGAGCUUAUUGAGAAUGUCUCUAUUGGAAAUGUGGAUGAGCAUUUGUGAACUUCAUGCAUUCAUGACAGUAAUCUGUAGGGCUUUUGAAAAGUGCUUGGUAAAAAUUCAAAUGAAAAUAAAUCUCUCUCCCACUGCCAAUCCCCAUUCUCUCAGAAACGCUUCCCAAAGGCCACUACUGUUACUAGUUUCUAAUGUAUCCUGCCUGCAAGUAUUAUCUGCAUGCAUACUUUCCCACCCAAUUUGUCUUUGUAUAUAAUGGUAACACAUUAAAUACUACCGGGCCCCUCUGCUUCUCUGCCCCCACCAUUUAUAUACCAUAUCCUGGAGAUCAUUUCGUAUCUGUACAUACAAAUGUAACACAUUCUUUCUUAGUCUUUCGUCUCUAUAUUGUAGACUGUAACUGACCUGUGUUCAUAUCUCAGCUUUGUGACUCUGUACAAGUCUCAGCCUCUGCUUUCUCACCUAAACAUUGAGAAUUACAGCAUCUUCUAAAAGAGUAAGCUACUAUCUGCAGAGUGUCUAGCACAGUGCCAAGCACAUGGUAAUGCUCAGCGAUCAUUAGUCCUGACAUUCCUCUCCUUUGGUGGGCUCCUCAUGGGGCCUGGCCUUUCAUAGCAGAUACUGUGGGACUAUGGAAUCAGAUUGACACAAGCUCCAAUCCUGCUCUCAGAUUUCUUGUAACAGAGACAUGGUAUUUCAUGUGGGGCAGAGGCUGGGGAACAUAUAUUACUUUAUUAGGCCAGUUUCUUUCUAAUGGAUAUUUAGGUAGUUUCCAGUCUCUGUGAUGACAAACAACACAGGAGUAGUUCCGCUGAUAUUAUAGAAGUGACGUAUUUGAUCUAAUAUCUUCCUGGACAAACUCAGAGAUUGGGGACUUGCUUUUGAAUUCCCUGAUCCAGAGCCACAGCUUCUGUGCGCUCCUCAUUCAACAAUUUUGCUUCCCCUCUGGGAGCCCUUUCAGCUUUGCCUUUUCUUUGUCUUCUCUGUUCCUAUUGUCUGCUUAACAUGAAAAAUGCACUCAGGUAGGCCUGGCAGCUAAUUACUUCAAAUAGGGGAAACCACCUUACAUAGAAGAUGGAAUGAUUAACUGUGUGAACUUUAAAAUUAUCACACAAUGUCAUCACUGUUAAUGAACACACUGUAAGAAGUUUGUUCUUUCCAAUUCAUAGUCAUAGAAAAUCCCAAGAGGGCUGGAGAGCAGUGAAGAUCUGAGGUGGGGAGGAGAGGAGGGUAGAGAUGUUGGUGUAAAAAAAAAAAUCAGAGAAGAAAAAUGGCUUGAACAAAUACUAGAUGAUUCCAUUUAUAUGAAGUACUAAAGUAGUCAAAAUCAUAGAAACAAAGUAGAAAGACGAUCACCAAGAGCUGGGGAGAGCAGGAAGGGGUAAUUGGUGUUUACGGGGUAUAGUUUCAGAGUCAUAAGAUGAAAACACUCUAGAGAUUGGUUGUACAACAAUGUGAAUAUAUUUAAUACUAUUGAACUUACUCUUAAAAUGCUUAAGAUGGUAAAUUUAAUGUUAUGGUUUUACCACAAUGAAAAAAAAAAAAAAGGCUUGGACUAAAUGCUACUCUGAAGAGUAGAAACAUAGUAAGAAAGACACUUCCUAACUCUGUGAUCCUGAUACUGCUCCCAACAGCUGCCCUGGGGUGCUAAAAUCUGUAGGCAGGCAGGACAGAAGAAACCUUCACAUAGUAUGCUCUGACUGGCCCAGUUCUUCACACUCGAUUUAUACUGAAUGUUCUAGAUUUAAGUGAGAGUGUCCAAUUUCCUUUCCAAGCCCCUCUCACUGUACUUGAAUGGCCUCUCCUUACCCCUCACUCUCAAAAGCCCACAGCACCUCAACAUAAUAACAUCAUCCUUUGUAUAUGAAGUUCAUGCCAUUACAGCGAAUAUACCUCAGACAUUGACAGAUGGAUUCACAGUGGUCCACACUGUGAAUAGAAAGACAUCCUUUUGGUUUAGGAGAAGGAAACUAAAGUGUACCAAGCCUCUACAAGUUCUGACAAGAUACUCAGCCCAUUUCAGACACAUCCCCAUGACAGCAACUCAUCUGACAGAUGAAGAAAUCAAGGCUCAAGCUGGCUAAGUGACUUUAUAAUAUUACAUGUCUAGUACAUGGAUUACUGAAGCUGAACCAGCAAAGUACCAGGAUCCAGCUUACUGGAUCGCACUGAUACAUCCGUCUCUAUUCAGAUAACUCACCUUUCCUCUGCCUUCAAAACACAGAUUUGACUGCCACAAGCCACACUGAGGUUCUGCUGACUUGCAUCUGACACAAUGUGCCAAUCAGAGGAAGUGUUCAAUAAAUAACUAUUGUUUUGACAUUGCUAUUUCUUAGCAGCCCAGAGCUAUACUUCAUCAAAUGAAACUGUACUUCAUUAUAUCGAAUAAUUUCUCUGUCUUCCCUGCUUUGACUGCACCUACCUUGGGUCAACAAUAGAUGCUGGUUAGCUACCCUCAGGGGAAUCAUUCACUAUGGGGGGUCCAGAGCUGUGUGGCACCAUCAUCCCCUGGAGUUGGCCCACUGACCUACUAACUACAAAGUGCUCACGUCUGGAGUAAUGGAGUGUUUGAAUCAAACAUAGUCGUGAUUGCUGAGGAUGCUGCAGAAACAUAGUGUGAGCCCCAGGGCAGAUGGAGUCACCUGUCACAUGGUAGAUCAACCACUCACACCAGCUCUGUCAAGGGACAGAGUUUCCAGGGAAGCAGCCCUCAAGCCAAAUCUGUUGAUCAGAAAUGUUUAACUUAGCACACAAAGUCUUCUUAUAAUAAAAUUAAUUGCUAGUAUUUCAAAUUCUAGGAAGUUCACAUGAACAUCCAGAUUUUGUACUUCUCUUGAAACACUGGAAGAUACAUCAACACUAGGUCCACUCCGCUGCACAGAAACAACUGGCUUGGUCCAAGCGGCAUCCUGAGUUUCCACCUGGCUAAUGAAUUUAGGGAGAAUUUUCACCACUUCUGAAUAAGUGGCCCAUGUGUUUCAAUUAUGGACAAAAUCAACAAAACACACCAGUAAGUGAAGCAAAGGAAAAGCCAUGGGCCUGAAAACCUGGGCUUCUCUUCCUGCCAUAACACAAGCUAUUCAGCAGCCAAGAACAAGGGUAUUUUCUGGAUUUUCUACAGUGAACAUGUACGAUCUUUAUACUAAAAGUUUAGUUUUUUGUAAAAAAUUAUGUAAACAACAGUACUUAUUUGGAAGUUUAAUGCAUGAAAGCAUCUCUGAAUUUGGCCUAAAUGCAAUGACCAUACUAAGUCUUUCUGACCAGACCAGCAAACCAGCAGAAUAAGCAUUUCAACCAUUCUUCAUGCUGAAUGUGAUUACUGUUCCAAGUGAUGGGUUUUAAGGGGCUUUUAAAUUCAAUUUGUGAGUACAGUUAGGCCUCCAUAAUAAUCAACCUAAUUCAACCAUUAUGUAAAUCACUGCCUCACAGAGAGGUACCCUGGUGGAGAAAGAGAAAAGACCACAAGCAAGAAUACUUAGGAAACAGAAUGCUUUGACUAAAUGAAUGUGAUACUUAACAGCAAUAAAAAAAAACCUUUAAUUCAAG
rnacentral:lncRNA from 10 species